rnacentral:rRNA from 1 species
GACAGAGGUGCCGAGCGUUAGGCGGAAUCACUGGGCUUAAAGCGUGUGUAGGCGGGCCGGUAAGUAUCUUGUGAAAUCCCCCGGCUCAACCGGGGAAUGGCUGGAUAUACUGGCGGUCUUGAGCAGUUCAGGGGCAGAUGGAACAGACGGUGGAGCGGUGAAAUGCGUAGAUAUCGGCUGGAACGCCAAAGGUGAAGACAGUCUGCUGGGAACUUGCUGACGCUGAGACACGAAAGCCAGGGGAGCGAACGGG